CUACCCUCGGCUGAAGCCGAAGGCUUGUAAAAACAAGUCUUGGUUGACUAGUCCCAGUAAUCCGAACGGAUAAAACCGCAAGGAGAACUACGUUGGUUGGGAAUCCAUAGGCACCGCGGGAUGUACAUCCUAGUCCCGCGCUCUGC
rnacentral:sRNA from 1 species